rnacentral:rRNA from 1 species
CAGGCUGCAACUCGCCUGCAUGAAGUUGGAAUUGCUAGUAAUCGCGAAUCAGAAUGUCGCGGUGAAUACGUUCCCGGGCCCUUGUACACACCGCCCGUCACACCAUGAGAGUCGAUAACACCCGAAGCCUGUGAGCUAACCGCAAGGAGGCAGUAGUCGAAGGUGGGGUUGAUGAUUGGGGUGAAGUCGUAACAAGGUAUC